AAUUUUCAGCACAAUGGCGUCUCUUCUUUCAAUGGAAAUUAUUCUUCAAGGAAUUUCCAUUUUUCAACAUUAUUUCUCCAUAUGUUUCCUGGCUUCUCUUCAGAGCUCCUGACAUUCAUGCUGCUAGAUUCCUCCUGACCAGGUAAAGAUUUAUUUGACCUGUCUUCCAUGCCCAAUACUAUCCUUUGAUUCAGGUAAGAGAGUUCUCUACAGUUGACCUAAGCUUUAGAGGGCUCCACUCUGGUCUUCCCAUGUAUGUCCUUUUUCCCAUCAGUUGAAGACUCUGUGGGAUCAAGGAGAUUUGCUUCCAGUUUGCCAUUUUCUUAUCCUCUGACCAUACUCUAGGUACCUCGCGCUAUAGAAUAUUCUGCUCAAAUGGUCAUAAGUUCUCUUCUCCUGAAGUUGAACCUCUAAAUUCAGUGGCCUGAGGAAAGUGUGGGUGUGGGUAAAGCUUGAAAAUGUGGUUUGGAACAUCCACAUAUGCGUGGCAAAGAAACAUUAUGGUGUGGUAGAGAGGGAAGUUAUGGAGAAGAAGUGGGUAUGGGAA